rnacentral:miRNA from 1 species
AGGCACGGUGUGGAGGAA